GAACUUUAACUUAGUCCCCAGGCCUUCUGCAAACUAGGCCAAAACAUAGAGGUAAACCUUGAAUCUCUAACCUCAACUGAAACUCGGUGUCCUGGCCCUACUUGGACUUUCCAAGCCUUUUUCAAAGUUGAUUGUCCUCCAACUAUCUUCCCACAAUCUCAGCUACUAGGGAAGACCUAAUCUGAAAUUGAGCUAGCAAGCUCCCUGAACUCUCUACAGUCAUAACUACCUUGGAACUCUUUAGCUCUCUCAACAAAGCUACACAAGGCACUCUUCGAA
rnacentral:lncRNA from 1 species